GCCUACGGGUGGCUGCAGUAGGGAAUCUUUCACAAUGGGCGAAAGCCUGAUGGAGCAACGCCGCGUGCAGGAUGAAGGCCUUCGGGUUGUAAACUGCUUUUAUAAGCGAGAAAUAUGAUGGUAACUUAUGAAUAAGGAUCGGCUAACUACGUGCCAGCAGCCGCGGUCAUACGUAGGAUCCGAGCAUUAUCCGGAGAGACUGGGUGUAAAGAGUUGCGUAGGGGGGAUAAUAAGUAGCUAGUGGAAUCUGGUGGCUCAACCAUUCAGACUAUUAGCUAAACUGUUAAGCUCGAGACCGUUAGGGGUAACUGGAAUUUCAAGUGUAGGAGUGGAAUGCGUAGAUAUAAGGAAGAACACCAGUAGCGUAGGCAGGUUACUGGGACGGUUCUGACACUGAGGCACGAAAGCAUAGGGAGCGAACAGGAUUAGAUACCCCGGUAGUC
rnacentral:rRNA from 1 species